rnacentral:lncRNA from 1 species
ACACCCCAACAUAAGCCAAAUCCUUGUGAAAUAAUUGGAUUCAAACUCUGAAUCCGGAAACCAGAUUACUUUUGUUCUUCCAUCUAAAUCUGCUGCUCAAAUUCUUUCAGCAUCUGAGUUUCUUGAUGACUUGCUGCCUUUUAUGAGUAUAUAUAUUCAACCUUCUUUGGAAAGGAAGAAAUUAAUAAGAUUAACGAUCAUGAGAAGAAAUUGAUCCGGGGUUGUAACGUGUAACCGGUGAGUGGUUUCCAUGCUGUGCUUGUCAAUUGAGCAGUCUUGUUUGCAGUUAACCUUUGAUUCGUUGUCUGUUCGACCUUAAAAUACUGAAAACCCUAACUAGGCAUCCUUGUUUUGCAUGAAAUUAAAGAUUUUAUAAAUUGAUUUUGUUCUUUUUUAUCUGCGGUCUUUUCUUUGUAUAAUUUGUAGAACUGAUCAUAUAUGGAGAAAUUUGAAUUGAUUUUUCUUUCUAAUUUGGGAAUUGAAAAAAAAAAAAAAAAACUCAUCUUUUCUGGAGAAAUUUAAUACGGUUGUUUGGUUGAUUCAAGGUUUAAUAUUCAUAAUUUUUCUUCAAAUUAUAGCUAUAGGUUUUUCCAUGAUCUUGGUAAGUAGAAUUUGAUCUUUUCAUAAACUUCCCAAGCUGAAAGACCUGCAGACUCUGUAUAACUGUUCAAAUAGAUGUAGUUCUCAGGUUGCUUUUACUUAUAUAUAUGGUUAUCGAAAUUGAGUGACUCUUAUGAAGAUUUUCAGUGUAUAUAGGUGAAGUAUAAACUAAAAAUGCAAUCAAUUAUACAAAUAGCAGCAGUUUUAAGAGAUAAAAAAUAAAUAAAUAAAAAAUGAGAAGUCAUAUAAUUGAAUUUGACACUAUUAAAGUUUAUUAAUCGGUAUUCAACAAAUUAUUAUUUUUUUCUUUUUUAAUCCGAUGAAGUAAAUAAUUUGCAGGAUAUGAUUUUCUGCUGCAAGUAGAUUUUUAUCAAACUUUAAAUAGAAUAUGUACGCACAUUUUAAUUAACAUAUUAUAAAUUAUUUUGAGGGUGGAUGGAUCUAAACAAUAAUCUUGACUCUGAUGCUAACUCAUUAUAAUGCUCAUAAAAUGCAUUUUCUAUCUAACAUGAGAUCUCGCAACCAAAGAUGAAUUGAGAUUUCAGUAUGUGAAGGGGCGAUGGUGUAUGACUAAAUAUAUAUAUACAGUAACUUGCCGCCUGCUUUCUGGAUGCAAUAAAAUGGGGGACCAUGGAAACUUCCCUAACCAAUAUUGUUCACCAUAUAGCAAUAAAUACUUUAUUAUGGAUUAAAAACAUAUCAUUCUUGCAUUCAUUUUUAUUUAUGCAUUUGCUGUGUAAUUUAAGACGUAGAACAUGUGCGUAUAUAAAUUGAUAUAUAAUGAUAUGAAACAAGAAGCAUUUUCGUUUUCUUGAAAAUAAAUUUCUAUUAAUGAAAAUAACUUGUAAAUCAUCAAGAUAUUCAAAAUUCUUAAGGUCGCAUAGACAAUGAACUUAAGGUAUAACAAGCAAGGACCGCUAAUUUGCCAAGGCUUUGCAUGGAAAUCAACACUUUACAGCUUCUGUUAGGUAUUGGCAACACAAACAUCCCAACAGGAAGAGGACGCAGCUUCAGUAUUGCUAAUUUAUCUUCUUGCUAGUGCAUCGAUAAGGAAGUAUCUCAUCUAAAAAUUAAACUUUUGCUGCCUCUGUUACAAUGUUGAGCAAUCAUAUAGAAGUUAGUGUUUGCGAUGAUAGAAAACUCUUUAUAUGUGUUACGUCUCCAACAAUACUCUCACGCACAGGGCACCAUCACAUUGUGUUUGAAAAAUUCUUAUUCUUGAAAUAUUAGUUAACAACCAUGUCAUUUUCAGCUAUUUGUCCAAAGUUAUGGAAAUAUAUAUUUUGUGCUUGCAGAUCUCAGUAGAAUCAAGGUGGAUUCAUCAUACAUGAUAUGACGUUCGAUGAAGCAAGAGCCCGAUAAAACGACUAUUAUAAGGUAAUUAAAUUAUUGAGUGAACUUGUAUUCUUCAAAUACUUCUGUCAGAGAAGGGUGCCCCUCUUUGUGUUGGCGUAUGAAUUCUUUUGUAAUUCUUCUAUUUAAUUACAAGUUAUUUAAUCUAGUGCAUAAGAUUUUGGAGAUUUAAGUCAGGAACCAGACAUAAUAUUGAAAUAUUCAUUGAAAGAGCAAUUCAAUAUAAUCCCCCGCCCCGUUUAUAUUGAAUGGUUUUGGUUUUCACAGAGAUUAAAAAAAUCUUUUUAAUGUUAUUGAAAAAGCAAUUUUUGCCAAACACUUUUCCAAUUUACCUUUAUUUAUAUUUGUAUAAUUUCAAGAUUAAGUAGGAAAAAUUAGUUAUAAUUAAGCAAAUUAAAUAAGGGUAUAUUAGUCAACGAACAAAACAAAACAUUCUCAAUAAAGAAACAAGGCUAUAUAAUUAAGACAAGAAAAUAAAGAGAGUCAACCUAUAUAAAUGGGACGGAGAGAGUAUAAGAGAGGUUGGAUCAAUUUCCUUUUACGUCUAAUGGAGUCAAGAUCCAAUUUUUGCGGUUCCAUUUAUCGUGUAGUCAUUCCCCACACAGAUUUGGACAGGUUUUAGCCUUUAUGUCUUUUGGUACUCCCCCAUCUUUUCCAUGUCGUAUAUAUUGAUUGUCAGCCGUUAACUUUAUAAGCCAAUUACCAAAGUUUUAUCCCGAGACAAUUACAAAUUAUUGUUCCCGUAUGGGAGAUUUUCCGUAGAUGGUGUAAAACCUAUUGCCACACUUGAUUUAGGUAAGGAAAAAUAUCUUGGAAGAAUAAGCUAGAUUUUUGUAUUGGAGUUAUUUAUGUAUGUUAACUAAUUAAUAGAUACGUAUGGCAAGCGAAUUCACGUCAUUCAAGAUUGUAUCGAGCUCCUCUGGUGUUGAAACUGGUUAAUGUGGGUGAGCGAACAAUUAUGAACAAAGAACACAGAGAGAUUUGGAGAAGCUUCUAAGUACGUAGUUUUCUCAAUAGAAGAUAAUCACGAUGUUGGUUUUAACGAUCAUCUCAAAGUCUUGCCAAUAGAAAGACUCGAACGCCCAUGAGCUCACAUCGAUAUAGGUUUUCUGAUACACCAAACAUAGUUCAAUUCUUGAGUUGCUUAAUUUUCUUUAAUUUUGGGUAGAUCAUCUAUUGUCAUCCAAAUUCAAACUGGGUAUUAGCACAUGAAUAAUCUUUUGGAAAUAUAAUAAUCGCUGAUACAUAAACUACGUAAGAUACAUGUAAAGUGUUGUCUUUACUUUAAUUAGUCACUAUAGGGCAACUGGGUACUAUUUAUGUCACUGAAGGCCGGUCAUACGGUGCUUUUCUUUGAAAGUUUCUAGGAGCUAAAGGUACAUGGAGGGUGAUGAAUUCUCUUGUAUCUCCCUAAAUAAUUGCUAGAAAUGUAGGAAAUUCAACUUCAAUUUUAGAUAGUAAAUAUAUAAUGAUCAAUUUUCCGUGAUAAAAAGCAGCACAUGAGAAUUCAUGAUAUUAAAGAAUCUUCUUAUCCUUCAAUGAUGUACAUGUGAAUUCUAAAAAAAAAAAAAAAAAAUCAUCUUUAGUGAUCCAAAAUGGUCUGAUAGGUCAAGCUAAAAAAUGAAAAUAAACAGUAAAAGUCUCCAUGAAGUUGAACUUGCGGUUCAAUAUGGUAUUUGUACUAACAUUAUUUCGAAGUUGUAAAAUAAGCAUUAGAAUUGCAAUUUAUUCUCUAAGUAGUUAAAAUAAAUUGCCAAUAUUUUUCUUAUUUACAACUAACAUGCAAAACUCAAAAACUAAGCGGCGCAUUCAUCAUCGCAAAGUAACAUGUUAUUGGUCAUGGAAAUAGUGCUGCAAAGUACUAGAAACCUAGUUGGUAAAAUGCACAAUCUUCAUACUUAAGAUGCUAUUGAGUUUGAUAAAUUCCUUAUUAUUUUCCAUUUUUCACUUCUUUUAAAUUUUGGAACUAAAUAAUAGGUCAAAAAUAAAAGACAAGAUGUUAAUUACCAUUUUAGAAGUUAACAAAACAAUUUGUAAAAUGUCGCAUGGCCUAACGAGUAAUUUCCUAAAAAUCAGGAGGUAAAAUAAAUAAAUAAAUAAAAUAGACAGAAUUGGCGUGCAGGUGACACAAUAAAAAGUUAAGAGUAAACAUCUGAAUUUAAGGAAAUGGAAUAUGGAUCUCUAUCUUUAAUUACGAUGUUGUCUUCCUACCAUCGACCUGGUAAACAGGUCCGGAGAUUGGACUCUACAUCUAAUAAAUAUUAACGUGUCAAUACAUAUAAUUCAACACGUGUCACAAGAUCCAUUAAAACUUAAUGCACUUAAUAUGUAGGUAAAGCGUUAAUAUUGUUAGGUUUUAACUUAUAUUGUUAUUCUUUAAACAAAAAAGAUUAUUAUAAAAGAGUUGUAAAAAUCAAUGAGUCUUUUGGAAUGUUGUAUAGAUGAACAAGAAGUCUUUAGGUUCGAGUGUGGAACACGGAGAAUGAGUCGUCAGAAUUAUGCUAAAUUGUCGCCAAGUUGAUGCUCAACGUCCAAAAGAGUAUCAUUGUCACUUGAGCGACACACCUGUCGCUCGCCUGGCGUUAGCUUGGCUGCUCGAGCAACAAUAUUUUUUGAGAUACCUUAGUUCGAGAUUUUCAAGAGAUUUAUCUAACAUAUACUACCAUAAUACCUCUCUACUAUAAAUACACGAGCUUCACUUCAUGAAAACGAUGGUUGAUUGUUAUAUUCUACCUUCAUAACAUCCUUUGAAAAUCAAACAACAAUUCUUCAUCAUGAGAUCAAUUAACCACAAGUUGGGAAAGAUAUCAAAAUCAUAUAAUAUAAAACACCUACUUCCUAAGCAUAAUCAAGAAAGCACUUUCUCAAUAACUUUAAGAGAUUACUGAAAAUUGAUGGAAGUUGCUGGAAGAGUACAAGAAUAAGAUGUUUUGGGUGAUCUACGAAAGAUAAGACAAUUUUAGAAGAUCAAAAGUAGGUGUCCAUGAAGUACGUUCCAACAGGCCUUGGAGGUUGCAAGAAUUAGAUGAGCGAGUUUAGUGGGUUUUUCUAGAUUGGAUCAUACUAAAAGUUCUUAGUCUCUAUAGUGGAAGUCACUGAUUUGGUUUUGGAGUUUUUAAUCCUAUGAAAUAUUUUUCCCAUCAACAAAUCCUGUGUUAUUUACUGCUUUAUUUACUCUAGUGGCAAUUUAACAUAUGAUAAAAUUGACUUAAUUAACUAAACAUUUAGAACAAUUAAAGAGAUGACUUAUUGCUAUUGAUUGGUAAUUUAAGUUCCGCAUUAUUCACCUAUUCAUUCCCUCUAGGUGAAUUUUAGGUCAUAUUAGUAACUUUCACAUAUAUUUGAUAAACAAAUACACCAGCACAAAAAAUAUUUGAAUAUUCCUUUAAGAAUAAUCAUAUUCAUAAAAUUCUCAUGCUGAA